GCCACGAUACAGGGUGAUAGUCCCGUACAUGAAAAGACAUUUUAAGUGAAAUCGAGUAGGUCGGAGCACGUGAAACUUUGACUGAAUAUAGGUGGACCAUCAUCUAAGGCUAAAUACUCCCAACUGACCGAUAGUGAACCAGUACCGUGAGGGAAAGGCGAAAAGAACCCCUGUGAGGGGAGUGAAAUAGAACCUGAAACCGUGUACGUACAAGCAGUAGGAGCCCACUUGUUGGGUGACUGCGUACCUUUUGUAUAAUGGGUCAGCGACUUAUAUUUUGUAGCGAGGUUAACCGAAUAGGGUAGCCGUAGGGAAACCGAGUCUUAACUGGGCGAAUAGUUGCAAGGUAUAGACCCGAAACCCGGUGAUCUAGCCAUGGGCAGGUUGAAGGUUGAGUAACAUCAACUGGAGGACCGAACCCACUAACGUUGAAAAGUUAGGGGAUGACCUGUGGCUAGGAGUGAAAGGCUAAUCAAACCGGGAGAUAGCUGGUUCUCCCCGAAAUCUAUUUAGGUAGAGCCUCGGACGAAUACUUACGGGGGUAGAGCACUGUUAAGGCUAGGGGGUCAUCCCGACUUACCAACCCUUUGCAAACUCCGAAUACCGUAAAGUAAUAUCCGGGAGACACACGGCGGGUGCUAACGUCCGUCGUGAAGAGGGAAACAACCCAGACCGCCAGCUAAGGUCCCAAAGUCAUAGUUAAGUGGGAAACGAUGUGGAAAGGCCCAGACAGCCAGGAGGUUGGCUUAGAAGCAGCCAUCCUUUAAAGAAAGCGUAAUAGCUCACUGGUCGAGUCGGUCUGCGCGGAAGAUGUAACGGGGCUAAACUAUGCACCGAAGCUGCGGAUUCAUCUUAGGAUGAGUGGUAGGGGAGCGUUCUGUAAGCCGUUGAAGGUGUACCGGGAGGUAUGCUGGAGGUAUCAGAAGUGCGAAUGCUGACAUGAGUAACGAUAAUGGGAGUGAAAAACUCCCACGCCGGAANGAAUUUAUUCUGAGUGGUAGGGGAGCGUUCUGUAAGCCGUUGAAGGUGUACCGGGAGGUAUGCUGGAGGUAUCAGAAGUGCGAAUGCUGACAUGAGUAACGAUAAUGGGAGUGAAAAACUCCCACGCCGGAAGACCAAGGGUUCCUAUCCCAUGUUAAUCAGGGUAGGGUAAGUCGACCCCUAAGGCGAGGCCGAAAGGCGUAGUCGAUGGGAAACAGAUUAAUAUUUCUGUACUCGAUAUAAUUGCGAUGGGGGGACGGAGCAGGCUAAGCAAGCAUAGCGUUGGUAGUCUAUGUGAAAGUGAGUAGGGCGUUUGUUUAGGUAAAUCCGGACAAACACUAAACCUGAGACACGAGACGAGUCACUACGGUGAUGAAGUUGCUGAUGCCAUACUUCCAGGAAAAGCCUCUAAGCUUCAGAUUAUAUGGAAUCGUACCCCAAACCGACACAGGUGGUCAGGUAGAGAAUACUAAGGCGCUUGAGAGAACUCGGGUGAAGGAACUAGGCAAAAUCGUACCGUAACUUCGGGAGAAGGUACGCUCCUAUCUGUGAUGAGACUUGCUCUCUAAGCGGACGGGAGCCGCAGUGACCAGGUGGCUGGGACUGUUUAUUAAAAACACAGCACUGUGCAAAAUCGCAAGAUGACGUAUACGGUGUGACACCUGCCCGGUGCCGGAAGGUUAAUUGAUGGGGUUAUCCUUAGGGAGAAGCUCUUGAUCGAAGCCCCGGUAAACGGCGGCCGUAACUAUAACGGUCCUAAGGUAGCGAAAUUCCUUGUCGGGUAAGUUCCGACCUGCACGAAUGGUGUAACCAUGGCCACGCUGUCUCCACCCGAGACUCAGUGAAAUUGAAAUCGCAGUGAAGAUGCUGUGUACCCGCGGCUAGACGGAAAGACCCCGUGAACCUUUACUACAGCUUGGCACUGAACAUUGAACCUACAUGUGUAGGAUAGGUGGGAGACUUUGAAGCA
rnacentral:rRNA from 1 species